GAUAUGGAGAUAGACAUUGGGGUCCAUAUUUCAUGCGAGAAUUGUUAUAAUUGCUAGUAGUUCUUAAGGAAGUUUGGGGUUUCCUACCUUAAUUACUCACUUUGUAGAAACAUGGGGUUGGAUUCAAACACUGCAGUGUUUAAUCGUCUGCAGGCCACCAUUAAUAAUAAUUUCAUUAGGAAACAUCAUGUUCCUAGAAUUAGGCCUUCCAACCAUCCACGAUGGUCUGCUUACCGUGUUCAACCAACUUUACGGUCCUUUAAGUCUCCCUAUCUCACAAAAUAAACUUUUAAUGCAAGAGUUGGGCUGAAGCCCUUUUGCUGGUUUAAUGAAACGCAACGUUUCCUGGUGCGAUUUGCCCAAAGCUGAUGAGGUCUCCUACUUCACAAAUCCUUUGUCCAAAGAGAGGCUCGAGCAAUUGAGAUUUGUCCCUAACAUUCGAAACCCAAUAGCUAGGGUUCGUGAAGAAAAGAAGAGCACCUAAGGUUCUUCAGCGCAAAGAGAAGAAGGAUGUUCGGCCCAAAAAGGAAGCCAACCCAAAUUGAUCGGUCCGGGGAAGAAAAUCGGAAGCAAUGCAGAGUUGAUCGGAUGGCUGAAGAUUAAGAGAAAGGGAGAAGCGUUUGAUCAAAGGCAGAGCGAAGUGGCAAAAAGUUAGUUGAAGAUGCUUUGCAAGGCUUCCGGAGUUAGUUACCGAUUCUUCCCCCUUUCCCCCUUUUCUUUCUUUUUCGGUUUUUGACUUUCCCUAUAUAAAGGAAGUCUUGUAAAGUGUAAACACGGGUGGUGGGUGACAGGAACCAUUCUUAGGUUUAUACGUGCACUGGGUGAUAGACGAUGUACUUAGAUUAGGUUUUCCAAUUUCUUGCUCUAGUUUUAGAAUUUCCAGCUUUCCUAGAAGUAGAUACAUUCUUUGCUUCACUGGGUUUCUUUAAUCUCUCCAUUGGGUGACAGACGGUGGAUUCUUAGACUCUGGUUGAAAACAGGCUUGCACCAGACUUUAAGAGAUGACUGAUUCUCAGGACUGGUUAUACAAGUUGAUUAAAAGAACGCCUAAGUUCCAUGGGCUAGCACAUGAAGACCCACACAAGCACAUCAAAGAGUUUAGCUGGGUGUGCUCCUCCAUGAAGCCUACUAGAUUUCCAGAGGAGGUAGUGAUGAUGAAGACAUUUCCAAUGUCUCUGCAAGGUGCAGCAAGAGACUGGUUCUUGUAUCAGCAAUACCCUCUUGGUAGUUACCCAGAGAUGUAGUAGAGGUUCCUCAA